rnacentral:rRNA from 1 species
CUACGCACUCCUACGGGAGGCAGCAGUGGGGAAUAUUGCACAAUGGGCACAAGCCUGAUGCAGCCAUGCCGCGUGUAUGAAGAAGGCCUUCGGGUUGUAAAGUACUUUCAGCAGUGAGGAAGGUGGAUAUGUUAAUAGCAUAUUCAUUUGACGUUAGCUGCAGAAGAAGCACCGGCUAACUCCGUGCCAGCAGCCGCGGUAAUACGGAGGGUGCGAGCGUUAAUCGGAAUUACUGGGCGUAAAGCGCAUGCAGGUGGUUUGUUAAGUCAGAUGUGAAAGCCCGGGGCUCAACCUCGGAAUUGCAUUUGAAACUGGCAAACUAGAGUACUGUAGAGGGGGUAGAAUUUCAGGUGUAGCGGUGAAAUGCGUAGAGAUCUGAAGGAAUACCGGUGGCGAAGGCGGCCCCCUGGACAGAUACUGACACUCAGAUGCGAAAGCGUGGGGAGCAAACAGGAUUAGAUACCCUGGUAG